UACGUAGGGUGCGAGCGUUAAUCGGAAUUACUGGGCGUAAAGCGUGCGCAGGCGGUUUUGUAAGACAGAGGUGAAAUCCCCGGGCUUAACCUGGGAACUGCCUUUGUGACUGCAAGGCUUGAGUGCGGCAGAGGGGGAUGGAAUUCCUAGUGUAGAGGUGAAAUUCGUAGAUAUUAGGAAGAACACCGGUGGCGAAGGCGGCCCACUGGUCCGGUACUGACGCUGAGGUGCGAAAGCGUGGGGAGCAAACAGG
rnacentral:rRNA from 1 species